rfam:Cricetulus griseus cell line CHO-K1, whole genome shotgun sequence.
GGGGGUGUAGCUCAGUUGGUAGAGUGCUUGCCUUGCACACACUGAGCCCUGGGUUCAAUCCCCAGCACCACAU